rnacentral:rRNA from 1 species
UACGUAGGGCGCAAGCGUUGUCCGGAAUUAUUGGGCGUAAAGAGCUCGUAGGCGGUUUGUCGCGUCUGUCGUGAAAGCCCACGGCUUAACCGUGGGUCUGCGGUGGAUACGGGCAGACUAGAGGCAGGUAGGGGAGAAUGGAAUUCCCGGUGUAGCGGUGAAAUGCGCAGAUAUCGGGAGGAACACCGGUGGCGAAGGCGGCGACCUGGGUAGAUACUGACGCUGAGGUGCGAAAGCGUGGGGAGCAAACAGG